GUAGUCAUAUGCUUGUCUCAAAGAUUAAGCCAUGCAUGUCUAAGUAUAAGCAAUUAUACAGCGAAACUGCGAAUGGCUCAUUAUAUAAGUUAUCGUUUAUUUGAUAGUACCUUACUACUUGGAUAACCGUGGUAAUUCUAGAGCUAAUACAUGCUAAAAAUCCCGACUUCGGAAGGGAUGUAUUUAUUAGAUUAAAAACCAAUGCCCUCUGGGCUCUUUGGUGAUUCAUGAUAACUUCUCGAAUCGCACGGCCUUGCGCCGGCGAUGGUUCAUUCAAAUUUCUUCCCUAUCAACUUUCGAUGUUUGGGUAUUGGCCAAACAUGGUUGCAACGGGUAACGGAGGGUUAGGGCUCGACCCCGGAGAAGGAGCCUGAGAAACGGCUACUACAUCCAAGGAAGGCAGCAGGCGCGCAAAUUACCCAAUCCCGACACGGGGAGGUAGUGACAAUAAAUACUGAUACAGGGCUCUUUUGGGUCUUGUAAUUGGAAUGAGUACAAUUUAAAUCCCUUAACGAGGAACAAUUGGAGGGCAAGUCUGGUGCCAGCAGCCGCGGUAAUUCCAGCUCCAAUAGCGUAUAUUAAAGUUGUUGCAGUUAAAAAGCUCGUAGUUGAAACUUGGGCCUGGCUGGCGGGUCCGCCUCACCGCGUGCACUCGUCCGGCCGGGCCUUCCUUCUGAAGAACCUCAUGCCCUUCACUGGGCGUGCUGGGGAAUCAGGACUUUUACUUUGAAAAAAUUAGAGUGUUCAAAGCAGGCCUUUGCUCGAAUACGUUAGCAUGGAAUAAUAAAAUAGGGCGUGCGUUUCUAUUUUGUUGGUUUCUAGAGACGCCGCAAUGAUUAACAGGAACAGUCGGGGGCAUCAGUAUUCAGUUGUCAGAGGUGAAAUUCUUGGAUUUACUGAAGACUAACUACUGCGAAAGCAUUUGCCAAGGAUGUUUUCAUUAAUCAGUGAACGAAAGUUAGGGGAUCGAAGACGAUCAGAUACCGUCGUAGUCUUAACCGUAAACUAUGCCGACUAGGGAUCGGGCGAUGUUCUUUUUCUGACUCGCUCGGCACCUUACGAGAAAUCAAAGUUUUUGGGUUCUGGGGGGAUUAUGGUCGCAAGGCUGAAACUUAAAGAAAUUGACGGAAGGUCACCACAGGCGGUGGAAGCCUGCGGCUUAAUUUGACUCAACACGGGGAAACUCACCAGGUCCAGAUGAAAUAAGGAUUGACAGAUUGAGAGCUCCUUCUUGAUUUUUCAGGUGGUGGUGCAUGGCCGUUCUUAGUUCGUGGGGUGACUUGUCUGCUUAAUUGCGAUAACGAGCGAGACCUUACUCUGCUAAAUAGCCAGGCUAACUUUGGUUGGUCGCCGGCUUCUUAGAGAGACUAUCAACUCAAGUUGAUGGAAGUUUGAGGCAAUAACAGGUCUGUGAUGCCCUUAGAUGUUCUGGGCCGCACGCGCGCUACACUGACAGAGCCAACGAGUUCUUUUCCUUGUUCGAAAGAAUUGGGUAAUCUUGUUAAACUCUGUCGUGCUGGGGAUAAAGCAUUGCAAUUAUUGCUUUUCAACGAGGAAUGCCUAGUAAGCGCGUGUCAUCAGCAUGCGUUGAUUACGUCCCUGACCUUUGUACACACCGCCCGUCGCUACUACCGAUUGAAUGGGU
rnacentral:rRNA from 1 species